rnacentral:lncRNA from 1 species
AGCCGCGCACGCGCACUGGCCCGCGCCCAGCCUCCGCUAGGGGACCCCCUCCAUGGCUUCCCACCGGGUUGUUCCAGGCCUCAGCUUCGCCGAAAGGCCUCACCACCUCCGACCUCCGCCUGCUCUGGGGAUGCUCCCAGCCCUGCUGCGGCAGAACGCGACAUGCUAACCGGAAUCCCUAGGCCGCCUGUCUCCUACCCAUACUUAGAGGCCCCGCUCAGACGGUCCUUAAAACGUCUGAAAGGCCGUUCCUGCCAGAGUCCCUGCUACCUGUUACCUCCACCCCUAUUUAGUCCUAGUGGACAGCCUCGCUCACCUUCCCUGGGAUGACACUUCUGGCGGCUGAGAUGAGCGAGCCUCUCUGGGCUCUGCCGCCGGGUGUGGGCUGACCUGCCUACAGCUGGGGCCUGAUAAGGCAGCAGCAAAAGGGUGGAGGGGAGGCAGUGUUGAAGCUGGGGGCAGCGCUCGCCAUUGAAUGACUUCCAAGUGCUCCGGGGCACAGAGCUACAGCACCUGCUACAUGCGGUGGUGCCCGGGCCUUG